rnacentral:rRNA from 1 species
UGAAAGCCCCCCGGCUCAACCGGGGAGGGUCAUUGGAAACUGGGGAACUUGAGUGCAGAAGAGGAGAGUGGAAUUCCACGUGUAGCGGUGAAAUGCGUAGAGAUGUGGAGGAACACCAGUGGCGAAGGCGACUCUCUGGUCUGUAACUGACGCUGAGGAGCGAAAGCGUGGGGAGCGAACAGGAUUAGAUACCCUGGUAGUCCACGCCGUAAACGAUGAGUGCUAAGUGUUAGGGGGUUUCCGCCCCUUAGUGCUGCAGCUAACGCAUUAAGCACUCCGCCUGGGGAGUACGGUCGCAAGACUGAAACUCAAAGGAAUUGACGGGGGCCCGCACAAGCGGUGGAGCAUGUGGUUUAAUUCGAAGCAACGCGAAGAACCUUACCAGGUCUUGACAUCCUCUGACAAUCCUAGAGAUAGGACGUCCCCUUCGGGGGCAGAGUGACAGGUGGUGCAUGGUUGUCGUCAGCUCGUGUCGUGAGAUGUUGGGUUAAGUCCCGCAACGAGCGCAACCCUUGAUCUUAGUUGCCAGCAUUCAGUUGGGCACUCUAAGGUGACUGCCGGUGACAAACCGGAGGAAGGUGGGGAUGACGUCAAAUCAUCAUGCCCCUUAUGACCUGGGCUACACACGUGCUACAAUGGACAGAAC